UACGUAGGUGACAAGCGUUGUCCGGAUUUACUGGGCGUAAAGAGCGCGCAGGCGGUCGUUCAAGUCGCGUGUGAAAGCCCCCGGCUCAACUGGGGAGGGUCACGCGAUACUGAUCGACUCGAAGGCAGGAGAGGGUAGUGGAAUUCCCGGUGUAGUGGUGAAAUUCGUAGAUAUUCGCAAGAACACUAGUGGCGAAGGCGGCUCACUGGCCCGAUACUGACGCUGAGGCACGAAAGCGUGGGGAGCAAACAGG
rnacentral:rRNA from 1 species